GAUGAACGCUGGCGGCGUGCCUAAUACAUGCAAGUCGAGCGAACAGAUGAGGAGCUUGCUCCUCUGACGUUAGCGGCGGACGGGUGAGUAACACGUGGAUAACCUACCUAUAAGACUGGGAUAACUUCGGGAAACCGGAGCUAAUACCGGAUAAUAUAUUGAACCGCAUGGUUCAAUAGUGAAAGACGGUUUUGCUGUCACUUAUAGAUGGAUCCGCGCCGCAUUAGCUAGUUUGUAAGGUAACGGCUUACCAAGGCAACGAUGCGUAGCCGACCUGAGAGGGUGAUCGGCCACACUGGAACUGAGACACGGUCCAGACUCCUACGGGAGGCAGCAGUAGGGAAUCUUCCGCAAUGGGCGAAAGCCUGACGGAGCAACGCCGCGUGAGUGAUGAAGGUCUUCGGAUCGUAAAACUCUGUUAUUAGGGAAGAACAAAUGUGUAAGUAACUAUGCACGUCUUGACGGUACCUAAUCAGAAAGCCACGGCUAACUACGU
rnacentral:rRNA from 1 species